GGGGAAGAACAUAGCGCAGUGGUAGAUCAUUUGCCUUGCAUGUAGAAGGUCCCAAUUUCAAUCCUUGGUGUCUCCA